UACGUAGGGGGCAAGCGUUGUCCGGAAUCAUUGGGCGUAAAGAGCGUGUAGGCGGCCAGAUAAGUCCGCUGUGAAAUCUCGAGGCUCAACUUCGAGCUGUCGGUGGAAACUGUCUGGCUAGAGUCCGGAAGAGGAGAAUGGAAUUCCUGGUGUAGCGGUGAAAUGCGCAGAUAUCAGGAAGAACACCCGUGGCGAAGGCGGCUCUCUGGGACGGUACUGACGCUGAGACGCGAAGGUCAGGGGAGCAAACGGG
rnacentral:rRNA from 1 species